rnacentral:sRNA from 1 species
GCAAAACCUAUUUUGAACAGACACUAGGCUGUUGAUAGUCUCUGUUUACUCCAUUCAGUAUGAUAUUCACAUGUUUUGCUGUGGGGAUAUUAUUGUAUUUCAUUACAGAGUAUUAUCUCAGGCCCUGCUGGAGGUAUUCUGUAAUAAUACACAGUAUUUGGAUUUGUAAAACUUUGAAUCUUCAAGUUGAAUGAGGAAGAAUCUUUUUUUAAAGUUUUGAAUCCUGAAACACAUGUGGCCUCAAGGGUUUGAGAUGAGAUAGGGGGAAGAAGCCAUCCCUGUGAGAACUGUAGCCCUCCGCUGAUAAGGACCCCUGCUGCUGUCCCCGGCAAAUGUAGAUAAAGCCAUUAGCUUGCACCCAUCCCGGCUGUCUCGCAGGCUGCCGGCUGUUCAUUUGUCCCUGCCGCUGAUUUGGGUGUGGUGACUCUGCUUCAUUCCAGCUCCUUCAGGCAGUGAGAGCCUUCCUCCCGCCAGCGGUGCUUCCAGCAACUCCAGCAACGCCACCACCAGCAGCAGCGAGGAGAUGCGUCCCAUCAAGACAGAGCCUGGCCUGUCAUCUCACUACGGGCACAGCAGCUCCGUGUCCCAGACGUUCUCAGUCAGUGCGAUGUCUGGCCAUGGGCCCUCCAUCCACCCGGUCCUCUCGGCCCUGAAGCUCUCCCCACAAGGCUAUGCGUCUCCUGUCAGCCAGUCUCCGCAGACCAGCUCCAAGCAGGACUCUUGGAACAGCCUGGUCUUGGCCGACAGUCACGGGGACAUAAUCACUGCGUAAUCUUCCCUCUUCCCUCCUCAAAUUCCUGCACGGACCUGGGACUUGGAGGAUAGCAAAGGAGGCCCUGGGCUCCCAGGGGCCGGCCUCCUCUGCCUGGUAAUGACUCCAGAACAACAACUGGGAAGAAACUUGAAGUCGACAAUCUGGUUAGGGGAAGCGGGUGUUGGAUUUUCUCAGAUGCCGUUACACGCUGGUGGGACUGGAGGGAGCCCACCCUUCAGCACGAGCACACUGCAUCUCUCCUGUGAGUUGGAGACUUCUUUCCCCAGAUGUCCUUGUCCCCUGUG